rnacentral:sRNA from 1 species
GCCAGGUGCGGUGGUGCACACCUGUAAUCCCAGUGGCUCAGGAGGCUGAGGCAGGCGGAUCAAAAGGUUGAGGCCAGCCUCAA